UACGUAGGGUGCGAGCGUUAAUCGGAAUUACUGGGCGUAAAGUGUGCGCAGGUGGCCGCGCAAGUCGAGUGUGAAAUCCCCGAGCUUAACUUGGGAAUUGCGCUCGAAACUACGUGGCUCGAGUGUGGCAGAGGAAGGUGGAAUUCCACGUGUAGCGGUGAAAUGCGUAGAGAUGUGGAGGAAUACCGAUGGCGAAGGCAGCCCCCUGGGAUAACACUGACGCUCAUGCACGAAAGCGUGGGGAGCAAACAGG
rnacentral:rRNA from 1 species